GGCUAGGGGUCUAAUUGGAGCUGUUGCUGCCAGCCUACACCUCACCAACAGCAACGCCAGGUUGAGCCAGGCCUGCGAGCUACACCACAGCUCAUGGCAACGCCGGAUCCUUAACCCACUGAGCAAGGCCAGGGAUCAAAGAUGGUUCCUAGUCGGAUUCGUUUCUGCUGCAGCAUAAUGGGAACUCCUAGAUUACUAGAUUCUAAGUGUGCUUAAGUGGAUGGGAUCUAGAACUGAAAGAUGCACAGAGAUCAUAGUUUAUUUACAGAAACAUAGAUAAAUGAUAAUUACCAUGACAUGUGAACAAGGCUUUGAAAGAAAUAGGGGUUGCAGUGAAUUCCCUGAGGGGGUGAUGCCUGUUUUCAGCUUGAUGGGCAGAGGAGUGGGGGGGUGAGGGAGCCGCCUGCAUGGAGGGCAGGAGAGUAGUGAGUCCAUUUGGAGUCACGGGGUCUUAGGUGCACAGAGAGGUAAGGUGGGAUCCUUUAGGCCGGGAGGGCCAUUACACCACGCUAGAGAGUGUAGAUCCCAUCUCUGCCGUCCGUACAGGUAGCAGUUGACCAGAUGUCCUGGUGCACACUUGUUCCAAGGUAAUUAAUUUGGCCCUUUUACUCUGAAAGUUGCCUCCCAUUUGGAUGAGAAAUGUUCACCCAACUUAAUGGAGGAGUUUGGAGCCACGUGGUGCUUACUUUAUAGGAGGAUCCUGGGGUUAUGUGAGCCUCAGCAGCUGCUUCGCAAACUCAGCCUACACUAAGGAUCCCCUGGGCAUCUUGUUAAUGGCAUAUUUGGCUUCAGUAGGUCUCGGUGGGGCCUCAGAGCUGCAUAAGCCCCCUGGGUUCCGCCUUCGCUGCCGGGCCAGGGAUCAAACCCGAGCUGCCACCCGAGACAGCGUUGCAUCCUUAACCCGCAGCGUCACAGCAGAACUCCGAAUCACUGUCUUUUAGGAGUGACGGGAUGGCUAAAUGAGGUCUGUAUGUUAAACGCCUUCAGGGCAGCGCUUAACCCGCAGGAGUCAUGCAGCUCGUGGUAGGUACUUGUCCCCCACCUCCAUCCCCGCAAGUUUUUUGAAGGCAGUAAACAUUGCUUAAACAUUUAAAAUACUUUUUUUUUUUUUUUUGUCUUUUUUCUAUUUCUUUGGGCCGCUCCCGCAGCAUAUGGAGGUUCCCAGGCUAGGGGUUGAAUCAGAGCUGUAGUCGCCAGCCUACACCACAGCCGUAGCAACGCAAGAUCUGAGCUGUGUCUUCGAUCUACACCACAGGUCACGGCAACGCCAGAUCCUUAACCCACUGAGCGAUGAUGCCAGGGAUCGAACCCACGUCCUCAUGGAUGCUAGCUAGCCACGUUCAUUAACUGCUGACCCACGACGGGAACUCCCAUUCUGUCACCAUUUGAGGGUCUCUUACGUGUCAGGCGUUCAGUGGGUGUUGGGAGGCCGAGGUCUCAUCUUGGUUAUUGCCGGCGGCCAGGCCUGGAGGGGCUGGCUCAUCAGGGCUUGGGUUGGGCAGUGCUUUCUGACUGGUGUGUGAUGUGUGUGCGGAAAGGUGCUGCUCCUGCCUUUGCCUCAUUGAGGUCCUGGUCUCUGGAUCGAUCGAUCCUGCAUGAAGUGUUAGUAUGUAGCACUGCAUUAGGAUUCUGAUUUCAGCCCCUGCAGUUGCUGCUGUUUUUACCAAAUAAAAUUUUUGUGCAUUUUGGUACUUUGAUGAGGUUUUUCCUAGGUACUUGGGUGUAUAAUUCAAGGUAAUUUUCAAAGUUUCUCAUCUAGGAGGUUGGAAGAAUGAUGAAAUUUGCUCUUGACAUAAUUGUAGAAGCUGAUUUUGAAAAAAUAAUGGGCCUCUUGAUUUUAAAGUUAAACUAGUACGUAGCAGCAGAAGAGCCCAAGAGUUGGGAGCUUGAAAGAAGCAACUGGAGGAGAAUUGAGCAGCCCGGGUUGAAGAUGUGUUUGGACUUCGUCAACUUAGUUGAAGCUCUGAGAGUGGGUGAGCUGCUUAGCCGGGGAAUAUCCAGGUGCCCAGCCAGAGGGGAGAGAGAGAAUGGUUCAAGAGGCAGGACCAAGUCUGUUUUUCUUUUUAGGGCUGAACCUGUGGCCUAUGGAAGUUCCCAGGCCAGGGGUAGACUCGGAGCUGCAGCUGGGGCCUGUGCCACAGCCGUGGCAACACCAGUCGUCUUCAGUUUAAUUUUUCUUUUUUUUUCCUUUUUUUAGGGCCACACCCUAAAAAAAGGCAUUUUUAGGGCAUAUGAAGGUUCCCAGGCUAGGGGUGGAAUGAUAGCUACAGCUGCUGACCUACACAAAAGUGACAGCAAUGCAGGAGCCGCAUCUGUGACCUGCAACACAGCUCAUGACAACGCCAGAUCCCCGACCCACUAAGCGAGGCCAGGGAUUGAACUGGCAUCCUCUUGGAUGCUAGUUGCGUUCGUUUCCGCUGAGCCACGACAGGAACUCCCAGUUUAAUUUUUCUAAUAAAGGAUUUUAUUUUAUCUAUCUGUCUAUCUAUCUGUCUGUCUGUCUAUUUAUUUAUUUAUUGUCUUUUUGCCAUUUUUUGGGCCGCUCCUGCGGCAUACGGAGAUUCCCAGGCCGGCAGCUACAGCUUCAACUUGAGGACCCGUAGCCUGGGAACUUCUGCAUGCCAUGGGUGAGGCCCUAAAAAGACCAAAAAGAAAAAAGUCUUGCCGUGUGAGUGAGUAUAGAGUGCUUACGAAUUGUACUUGUGUACAUGAAAAGUUGGUAAUGUGGUCCUUGGUCUUCAAGAGCUGUUUUUAUAACAGAGCUGCCUUAGCCGUGCUCUUUAUAGACGUGCACCUGCUUUAAAGAAAAAAAAAAAAUCAACCAUAUGGAGGCAUCAUUUAAUACAGUAAAUAUAUCAAUUUUAAGUUUUCCGUUUGAGUUUUGACAAAUGUGUAUAGCAGAGUAACUGCCACUAUGAUCAAGAUAGAGAUAUUUUCAGAGUUCCGGCUGUGGCAUAGUGAGUUAAGGAUCUGACUGCAGUGGCUUGGGUUGCUGCGGAAGCUCAGGAUUGAUCCCCAGCCUGGUGCAGUGGGUUAAGGGAUCCAGUGUUGCUGUGGCUGGGGCAUAGGUUGCAGCUGUGGCUCAGAUUCACUUCCUGGCCCCUGGUUCGGAAACUUCCACAUGCUGUGGAUGCAGCCGUUAAAAAAGAAAAAAGAUACUUUCAUUGCCCAGAAAUUUCUCACAUGUCCUUUUGCCAUGAAUCUCUACCCUAUACCCAGACAGUUACUCAUCUGCUUUCUGUCACUACAGGCUAAGUUUCUCUUUUCUAGGACUCUCUUUAUGUGGAAUUAUAUAGAAUAUUCUUCUAUCUCCCUUCUUUCAUUCAGCGUAACAUUUUUGAGAUUUACCCAUGUUCCUUUUCAGUGCUGAGUAGUAGUCCUUUAUAUGGAUGGACCACAAUUUAUCUCUUCACCUCUUGAUGGAUAUUUGUUGUUCCGUGGUUUGACUGUUGUGAGUGAUGCUCUCACUACAUUCAUGUACAAGUCUUUGGUUUUGUACUUGUACAAUAUAUGUUUUCCUUUCCUUUUGCUUUUUAUAAAUUUUUUUUAUUUAUAUAAUUUUUUUUAUUUUCCCACUGUACAGCAAGGGGGUCAGGUUAUCCUUACAUGUAUACAUUACAAUUACAUUUUUUCCCCCACCCUUUCUUCUGUUGCAACAUGAGUAUCUAGACAUAGUUCUCAAUGCUAUUCAGCGGGAUCUCCUUGUAAAUCUAUUCUAGGUUGUGUCUGAUAAGCCCAAGCUCCCGAUCCCUCCCAGUCCCUCCCCCUCCCAUCAGGCAGCCACAAGUCUCUUCUCCAAGUCCAUGAUUUUCUUUUCUGUGGAGAUGUUCAUUUGUGCUGGAUAUUAGAUUCCAGUUAUAAGUGAUAUCAUAUGGUAUUUGUUUUUGUCUUUCUGGCUCAUUUCACUCAGUAUGAGAUUCUCUAGUUCCAUCCAUGUUGCUGCAAAUGGCAUUAUGUCAUUCUUUUUUAUGGCUGAGUAGUAUUCCAUUGUGUAUAUAUACCACCUCUUCCGAAUCCAAUCAUCUGUCGAUGGACAUUUGGGUUGUUUCCAUGUCCUGGCUAUUGUGAAUAGUGCUGCAAUGAACAUGCGGGUGCACGUGUCUCUUUUAAGUAGAGUUUUGUCCAGAUAGAUGCCCAAGAGUGGGAUCUUUUUGCUUUUUUAAGGCUGCACCCACGGCAUAUGGAAGUUUCCAGACUAGGGGUCACAUUGGAGCUGCAGCCACUGGCCUACACCACAGCCGCAGCAACAGGAGAGUCAAGCCAUGUCUGCGACCUACGCCACAGCUCACAGCAAUGCUGGAUCCUUAACCCACUGAACGAGGCCAGGGAUCGAACCCUCAUCAUAGAUCCUAGUUGGAUUCGUUAACCACUGAGCCACGACGGGAGCUCCAUGUUGUCAUUUCUUAGGUUAAAAUGCCCAGAAAUAGAAUUGUUGUAUGUUAUAAUGUAGAUGUAUGUUUUAUCUUGUAAGAAACUGCCAGGCUUUCCCAAAGAGCAGGAUCCUUUCACGUCUGUGGCAGGAGUGUGUGAGAAUUCCCCUUCUGCAUCCUCACUGACACUUGGUAUUUUCAGUUUUAUUACUUUGUUUUUUUUUGGUUGUACCCAUGGCAUAUGUAGUUUAACUCUUGUGGGGUAUGGAGAGGCUGUCAUUCCUCGCCCCUGGAAAUUUUGUUUCUUGUAGAUUUUUUUUCCUUUUUCCUCUUCAGCAGAGCUCUUGAGCACCUGCUGUAUGCCAAGUACUGCCUUCACUGCAGGCAAUGGAAAGAUGAAUUUCACUUGGUUUCUGUCCCACGGCUUGUGAAAGUUCCAGGGCCAGGGAUCACACCUGCACCGCAGCAGUGACAGCAGCAGAUCCUUAGCCCGCCGUACCACCGGAACUCUGGUUUCUGUUCUUUUUUAAAACUAACUUUACUACGGAGGCAUAUAAUACACAAGCAGUGAAUUUCAUCCGUUGAAGUAUAUAGUUCGAUGAAUUCUGAUGUUUCUUUUUUAUUAGUCUUCUGCUUUUCCUCCUUCCUUUCCCUUCCUUGAUUAGCGCCAUGGUGAUUGUAAUAGAUAUGGAAAUAGGUGGGAUCUUGACUUCUUUCUGCUAAGGCUGUCCCAGAUAUAACACAGACUGAAUUCACUCCCUAGUUUAUCAGCUCUGUUCCAUGUGAUAAAAAGUCCAUAUAGCAAGUUACUGUAUAAUGAGGGCUAUCUCUGUUCCUUGCAGUUUAGUACUGGUUUAGAGCAAAGCAAGUUAAAAUUUAACUGGCAUUGUGUAGUGUACAGUAGGCCUGGAAAGUUGUUAAGUGGAUUUCUGCUAAAUGAAUCAUGUUUUCUAACUUGGAGAUGCAGUCUGGGGAAACAAGUUUUAGCUCAGCUUCUCCAUGAGAGCGCUUAAAGAAAUAUAUCCAACCUACUAUGAAAAAAGCCUCCUUGGAAAAGUGAGAGGAUAACUUUUGGCAGUACUUUAAUAGUCAGAAUAAAAUGCACAGACCCCACCAAACUGACUCUGAAUUGCAGUAGGUUGACAUUUGAAUUCUAAGGAGUGGUGCUGCCUGGGGGAGUGGCUUUGUCACGGUUUGUCCAUUUGUUCCCUUCUCAGGAUUCCUCACCCCGAGAAAUUCAGCAGGUUUCUGCUGCAGCCCAGUCAGUGGAGGAAUGAGCCUUUCUCGCCUCUGUCUUCUUUUGUCUGCUUUUGCUGUUUAUAAUACUCUUUGCAGCUUGCGGUGCGCUUGCAUUGUGACAACUGUCAGUGUCAUGUUGUUGCAGACCCUGCAUCUGUCUCAUUCAGAGUUUAUUCUCAUAAUCGCACACAGUCCGCUGUGGAUGGUUGGUGCCCGACACACGUUAAAUUAAUGAACUUCCCACUGUGCUCUGACUGAACAGUGUCGCCUCCAAGUGUCCCCCAGGCCACGCACGUCACUUAACAAAGUUUAGAGCAUAUGGUGACUGUUCGGCAUCUAUCAAGUACUGGCCCCAAUCAGUAAAAUAUAGCAAAGAAACUAAAAUGUAUCUUUUAAUGCAACUACUGACCUGAAUUUUUUUUUUUUCCACUUAAUUUUGUUGCGCUAUUCCCAUACCAGAGACUUCACGUGUUUAAAUAGCGGUACGUUUUGGUGCUUUUUAAAAUAGUCACAGAGGUGUGCGGUUAGCUCUUAGCAGUCAAUCUUAGAACAUUUCAUUACUGCGGAAAGAAACUCCACACCCAUCAGGCCUGACUCCCUNNNNNNNNNNNNNNNNNNNNNNNNNNNNNNNNNNNNCAGCCGGUUUGCUCUGUCUCCAGGGAGUGGCCCCCCUGGACGUUUCACAUGGAUGGACUCGGGCAGCGUGAGGCCUCUUUCACCCAGUGUGAUGUGUUCAGGGUCCAUCCACGUGGUUGCCCGUGUUAGUCUAAGGACGUUUCUGAACCCGUUCCAUAGUCCUGGUUCCGCCUGGGAGGUCUUCUGGGAGCUGGGAAGGACUUUGGAGGUUGUAUAGUUUGGCAUAUCCUCACUUGAGAGAUGAGAUUAAAGCUUUUAUCACUCGGAGCCGUUUAUUAGUCCUUUCCGUUGCCUCCUAUCUCCCAAAUUCAAUUUCCUUGGGUUGGGAAAGACUUUGUGCUUCUCCCUCUUGUCGCUGUGUGUGGUUCGGUCAUUGAACCCUGUGAGGCCCAGCCGGCUCCUGUCUGUCCCGGGGAUGCUGUCCCUGGGGCCGGGCUCCGAUGCCCUGGAGCCAGGGCGGCACCGUGUGCACACACAGCAGAGUUUCUUGGUCAGACCUGUGUUAGUGCUUUUACCUCAGGGGCUGAUCUCCCACAUCCCCAGUCCUUUCGAAGGCAGGGGGCCUCGACUGGGGGGCCCCUGCCCAGUUACUGCCCUUUCUAGGGCUCAGGCUUUGGGAGUUGAGCGGAAGGCUCCGCGCUGCGCUCCAGCGCCCCCUGGCGCCCGGCCGUGGUGGUCGCCCUCUGUCCGUUUCUCCUCUUGGGGCGGAAAGCGCUCUUUGCCGAGGCUUCGUGGCCUCUCUGGAGAUCUGUGGGCCGUGCGGGCAGAUGUCUUCCUUCGCCCGGCCUCCCUUGGGCUGAGAUUGGGUGUUUGCUCUGCCUGUGGCACAAACACUGGUGUUUCCCGUUCCGCCUGCCCUUUAGCCAGCGGCGUAGCCAGGGGACCAGGCCUCCGUCUCCGCCGAAGACCAGAGCGGCCCCGCCCAGCUGCGCUGCCCCGAGCGGCGUCGUGUCUGCACCCUGACCAUGCUGUGGGUUGGCCCCGUCUGCCAGAUGUGUUUCUUUUAGAUAUACUUUUCAUGUUCAUUCUAGAAAGGAUCCUAAAAUGAUCAAACGUGAACUGUGGGAGAUCAGAAAGCUGGAGCUGGGCUUUGUUCCUGGCUCGGCCUAGAGCUGCACCAUUUCCCAGGCCCUGGGCUGUGUCCCACCCCCGCUGGCCUUCCCUGCAGCGGCCACAGCCCCCCCCCCCGGGGUGGGGGGAGAGGAGGGUUUGUGAGGAGCAUUUGGGGUUGCUCCCACUUGUAACUCGUUUAUUCACCUUCCUCUGCUGGGCAGCCCUUCAGACCUAGGGAACUCUGCAGGCUCGCCUUACAGCCGAGGGAGGCCUAGAGCUCUUAGCACCGUGUAAACAGUCACUUCGGCCUGCGUGGGCCGGGCCUGCCCUGGGCGUGGCUGCCCCCUUCACUGUCCUGGCUUUCAGCUGGCUCUGCUCCUGGAGGACAGAUUCAUGUGGUCAGGGGCAUUUUCUCCCCACUAGCUUAUAAAUUCUGUGAAAUCAGGUACAAAAGCCUUUUCUUUCAUUUUUUUUAAACCCUGUUUUUCCUAAAAACAGACUUUAUUUAUUUAUUUUUUGGUCUUUUUGCCUUUUCUAGGAUCACUCCAACGUCAUAUGGAGGUCCCCAGGCUAGGGGUCUAAUUGGAGCUGCAGCCCCCGGCCUACACCACAGCUCACGGCAACGCCAGAUCCUUAACCCACUGAGCAAGACCAGGGAUCGAACCUGCAACCUCAUGGUUCCUAGUCGGAUUCGUUAACCACUGAGCCACGACGGGAACUCCUAAAAACAGACUUUAAAGUGUGUUAAUUCUCCAGAGGAAGGGAAGUACUUCACACACAUAUAAAGAGAGGGUAAGAAAUUUCAUCACAACUAUUUUCAGCUUUAGCUUAAAAAAAAAAAAAAAA
ensembl:lncRNA